GAGUUUGAUCAUGGCUCAGGAUGAACGCUAGCGGCAGGCUUAACACAUGCAAGUCGAGGGGUAUUCUAGCAAUAGGAGAGACCGGCGCACGGGUGCGUAACGCGUAUGCAAUCUACCUUUCACAGAGGGAUAGCCCAGAGAAAUUUGGAUUAAUACCUCAUAGUAUAAUGACUCGGCAUCGAGAUAUUAUUAAAGUCACAACGGUGAAAGAUGAGCAUGCGUCCCAUUAGCUAGUUGGUAAGGUAACGGCUUACCAAGGCGACGAUGGGUAGGGGUCCUGAGAGGGAGAUCCCCCACACUGGUACUGAGACACGGACCAGACUCCUACGGGAG
rnacentral:rRNA from 1 species